rnacentral:misc_RNA from 1 species
GGCAGCCCGCGCGGACACCCACCAAGCCACAGGUACCCUGAGAGAGAGAGAGAGAGAGGAGGAGGAGGGGGAAUAAAAGAGACGAGCAGAGCAGUAUCGCUGUAGUAGUUAACCCUCGCUGCUGCACAUCACCACCACAUCUUGGUGUCAGUAUCUCGUGAUUUCUAAAAACAAGUUGAUGUGUAAUAACAGAAACGCAUUUGUGUAAUGGUGGUAUAGUAUACAGUGGUGGUGAGAGUGGAGGAGUCAAGUGGUAAAUGAAACUUAAAGUGUCAGUUUCUCACAACGUUUUGGAAAAUUAGUUCGUAGAGGAAAUUUCGUCGGCGACACCGUGAGGAGAUAUAUGUUUGUGAGUGUGUGAGCGAGCUGCUCUCGGUUAGCGCGCCGCCCUGUGACUUAUGUGAUCUUGCCACCCCACCCACAUCCUCAUCCACGCCGCCGCCCACACAUAAAACUUACUACUUUUUCGUUGGGGGUCAUCGCUGGUCCAGUGGUCGGGUGGGGCUGGGCAGCCGGUGUGGCCCACGGGCCGCACUGGCGUCAUGGGCGGCAAGUGUGGGCCACAGUGGUGGCGGGCCGCACAGGUGAAGCAGAAGCAACAAGUAGGUGGCCUGACCGGGCCACCUUCUCACUGACCACCCUCAUGACCCAACAAAAUAAUUACGGUGCGGCCCACCUGGCCACACUUAUGCUGCUGGCCACGGUGGGCGUCGUCGGGGCUGUGGCCAUGCCAGCACCACGCCUUCCUGAGGCCACUAACUCCACCCCACACUACUCGUCACCUGACGACGACUACUAUUACUACGACUAUGACUACGAGGGAGAGGUCGUCGCUCCCCACCUUAACCUCAGCGAGUUUCGUCUACCGGAGGGGGUGGAGGGGACGGGCGCCCCCCACGUCCCACGCUACAUGCUCGAGCUCUACGCCGACCAGACCUCCCACCACGCACCCCCACUCCCCGGCGCCGACCUCGUCAGGAGCUUCAUCGCCAUCACUACAGAUCCGCUAGGGAGUGCAGAAGGAUCUAAGGUUCGAAUCCACACACUUGAGUUCAACCUGACGGUGCCGCGCCGGGAGAGAGUCACGGCAGCCACCCUCAGACUAUACGCCCUUAUCACCCGUGAUCAGUACGCCUACAUCGGCGUGGAGCGGCGCGUCCGUCUGGUGAUAGAGACACAACGGGGUAUCAGCCUGGACGACAUCACGCCGGAGGGCCUGGUGGUGAGAGACACGGAGGGGGAGACCAGUGGCCACGGGGUACAGGUCACAGUGUGCGAGAGAGACAUCUACGAGUUACACAACGCCUGGGAGACCUUCGAUGUGACAUCCGCCGUCAAGUAUUGGCUCUCCCACCGCAACGCACCCCAGCUCCUACAGAUACACAUAGAGUCAGUGUUCUCGACGGUAGGUGAAGGCGGGGACAUGGACGUGGCCACGGCGCCCCGGACGGAGAGUGAACCCCUCCUUCUGCUGUACUCCAACGUCAGGACCCGCCACCAGGCCCGACAGGAACUCAACCUUAUGAUCUCCCACGAGUACCACGACCACCACCAGCAAAAGAGGCGCAGAAGACGACGCUCAACGACAGGUCAGGAGGAGCAAGGAUCGUCGAGGCGUCGGAGGAACGCGGCCGAGCUACAGGAGGAGGAGAGUAACAUGAUCUGGGAGGGCGACAUGGAGGUCCUCGGCCUCCCAAGCCAAGCUCAUAAUUCGCUCGGAGGUAAGGUCGGGGGGGUAAAGGGCGCCGGGGACGCAAGCGGCGGGCCAAGAACGGUUGCAAAAAGAAGCCCCUGAGAGUAGACUUCAAAGACAUCGGUUGGGACAAAUGGAUCAUCGCCCCGCCGUCUUAUGAGGCAAAUCAGUGCAGCGGCAAGUGCUUCUACCCUUUGGCGUCACACUUGAGCCCCACAAAACAUGCAGUGGUGCAGAACUUGGUGCAC